rnacentral:rRNA from 1 species
AGAGUUUGAUCAUGGCUCAGAACGAACGCUGGCGGCAGGCUUAACACAUGCAAGUCGAACGGGUGUAGCAAUACAUCAGUGGCAGACGGGUGAGUAACACGUGGGAACCUUCCUCGUUGUACGGGACAACUCAGGGAAACUUGUGCUAAUACCGUAUACGUCCGAUAGGAGAAAGAUUUAUCGGAGUUGGAUGAGCCCGCGUUGGAUUAGCUAGUUGGUGGGGUAAUGGCCUACCAAGGCGACGAUCCAUAGCUGGUCUGAGAGGAUGAUCAGCCACACUGGGACUGAGACACGGCCCAGACUCCUACGGGAGGCAGCAGUGGGGAAUAUUGGACAAUGGGCGCAAGCCUGAUCCAGCCAUGCCGCGUGAGUGAUGAAGGCCCUAGGGUUGUAAAGCUCUUUCACCGGUGAAGAUAAUGACGGUAACCGGAGAAGAAGCCCCGGCUAACUUCGUGCCAGCAGCCGCGGUAAUACGAAGGGGGCUAGCGUUGUUCGGAAUU